CUUCUGUUUCUCUAACUCUGCAAACAAAACCCUGAAAAUCCUACUUCAAAGACAAAGAAGAGGUGGUCAGGCUCCCGUGAGUCACUCAGAGUUUGGAUGUGGUAAGGAUCAGAGCCAAACUAGGACCUGCAUUUAUGAUCUCAAGUAACCGGAAGCUCCAAGAUAAAAGAAGAGAAUUUCAAGGCCAGGCUGAACAUUUGACAUCGUCUUAUUUGUGGAGCAUUAUCCCCGGACUUGGAGGGUGCUGCUGUUGGGAUCUGUGUGGUGGAGCUGGGAACCAGCCCCAAGA